rnacentral:rRNA from 1 species
AACGAACGCUGGCGGCAGGCCUAACACAUGCAAGUCGAGCGAGGACUUCGGUUCUAGCGGCGGACGGGUGAGUAACGCGUGGGAAUGUGCCCUUCUCUACGGAAUAGCCCUGGGAAACUGGGAGUAAUACCGUAUACGCCCUAUUGGGGAAAGAUUUAUCGGAGAAGGAUCAGCCCGCGUUGGAUUAGGUAGUUGGUGGGGUAAUGGCCUACCAAGACGACGAUCCAUAGCUGGUUUGAGAGGAUGAUCAGCCACACUGGGACUGAGACACGGCCCAGACUCCUACGAGAGGCAGCAGUGGGGAAUCUUAGACAAUGGGGGCAACCCUGAUCUAGCCAUGCCGCGUGAGUGAUGAAGGCCUUAGGGUUGUAAAGCUCUUUCAGCUGGGAAGAUAAUGACGGUACCAGCAGAAGAAGCCCCGGCUAACUCCGUG